rnacentral:misc_RNA from 1 species
UCUCAGUUUGCACUGGCAGUCUCGUUAGAGUUCCCGGCAUGACCCGCUGGCAACUAACGAUAGGGGUUGCGCUCGUUAUAGGACUUAACCUGACACCUCACGGCACGAGCUGACGACAACCAUGCAGCACCUUGUAAAUUGUCUUGCGAAAGUAAUGUUUCCAAAACGGUCAAUCUACAUUUAAGCCCUGGUAAGGUUCCUCGCGUAUCAUCGAAUUAAACCACAUGCUCCACCGCUUGUGCGGGCCCCCGUCAAUUCCUUUGAGUUUCAUUCUUGCGAACGUACUCCCCAGGUGGGAUACUUAUCACUUUCGCUUAGCCACUCAACCUUGCGGUCGAACAGCUAGUAUCCAUCGUUUACGGCGUGGACUAC